rnacentral:rRNA from 1 species
UACGUAGGGAGCAAGCGUUGUCCGGAUUUAUUGGGCGUAAAGGGCUAGUAGGCGGUUACGUAAGUCGGGUGUGAAAACUCUGGGCUCAACCCGGAGACGCCACCCGAUACUGCGUUGACUUGAGUCUGGUAGGGGAGCACGGAAUUCCUGGUGUAGCGGUGAAAUGCACAGAUAUCAGGAGGAACACCGGUGGCGAAGGCGGUGCUCUGGGCCAGUACUGACGCUGAAUAGCGAAAGCGUGGGUAGCGAACAGG